rnacentral:rRNA from 1 species
AUUGAACGCUGGCGGCAUGCCUUACACAUGCAAGUCGAACGGCAGCAUGAUCUAGCUUGCUAGAUUGAUGGCGAGUGGCGAACGGGUGAGUAAUACAUCGGAACGUGCCCUGUAGUGGGGGAUAACUAGUCGAAAGAUUAGCUAAUACCGCAUACGACCUGAGGGGGAAAGUGGGGGACCGCAAGGCCUCAUGCUAUAGGAGCGGCCGAUGUCUGAUUAGCUAGUUGGUGAGGUAAAGGCUCACGAAGGCGACGCUCAGUAGCUGGUCUGAGCGGACGAUCAGCCACACUGGGACUGAGACACGGCCCAGACUCCUACGGGAGGCAGCAGUGGGGAAUUUUGGACAAUGGGGGCAACCCUGAUCCAGCAAUGCCGCGUGUGUGAAGAAGGCCUUCGGGUUGUAAAGCACUUUUGUCCGGAAAGAAAUCGCACUUACUAAUAUUAGGUGUGGAUGACGGUACCGGAAGAAUAAGGACCGGCUAACUACGUGCCAGCCGCCGCCGUAACAC